CUGAAUAUCGAUAUUAGUCCAGUUCAUAUAAAAUGAAUUCAUUACUAUUACUGUUAGUUCAUAUUGACGUAACUGAAAAAAGUGUUUGAAAACCUACUUUCUUGAAAAUAUAUCAGAUCACUUUUUCAACAAAAACCCGGAAAGCACUGCACUUGCGAAAAUAAAAAGAUGAAGUCCUGCUGUCAAGAUGGAAAAUGUUCUUGCUGCUUAGAUAUUUCUUGUUGCAAAGUAGAUAAAAGUUCCUGCUGCGAUAGAAAACAGUGCUGUGAAAACAAAUCAUGCGAAAGAAAUGAUAAACCUCCGUGCUGCCAAGGUGGAAAAUGCUCUUGCUGCCCGAUAAAAACUUGUUGCAAAGGAGAUAAAAGUUCCUGCUGCGAUGGAAACCAGUGCUGUAAA